rnacentral:piRNA from 1 species
UGUGAUUAUGAAAUUGAUCCUGGUCGCUUG